rnacentral:rRNA from 1 species
GAUGAACGCUGGCGGCGUGCUUAACACAUGCAGGUCGAACGAUGAAGCUCAGCUUGCUGGGUGGAUUAGUGGCGAACGGGUGAGUAACACGUGAGUAACCUGCCCUUAACUCUGGGAUAAGCCUGGGAAACUAGGUCUAAUACCGGAUAGGAGCGCCUACCGCAUGGUGGGUGUUGGAAAGAUUUAUCGGUUUUGGAUGGACUCGCGGCCUAUCAGCUUGUUGGUGAGGUAAUGGCUCACCAAGGCGACGACGGGUAGCCGGCCUGAGAGGGUGACCGGCCACACUGGGACUGAGACACGGCCCAGACUCCUACGGGAGGCAGCAGUGGGGAAUAUUGCACAAUGGGCGAAAGCCUGAUGCAGCGACGCCGCGUGAGGGAUGACGGCCUUCGGGUUGUAAACCUCUUUCAGUAGGGAAGAAGCGAAAGUGACGGUACCUGCAGAAGAAGCACCGGCUAACUACGUG